AAGGCCAAUCUGCGCAAUUUUUUUUGAUAAAUAAAAGGCAGAGAGACCAUUGACCGAGGGUCAAAUAGAGCCCAAAAGGGUUCAUGAUUCAUGAAUCUAGCCGGAAGACCCGACCCGAAAUAGACCGAAUUCAAACCCACGAACCAAACCCACAUCAGAGAAUUCUAUGAAGCGAUCUAAGGAUCCUUUUGAAGCUGCUUUUGAGGAGCAGGAUGCCUCACCCCCUGAAUCCCCUGUUGGCACUGACGAGAAUGAAGGCCAAGACCAAGCUGCAGGUGAUGAUGUUAAUACCGGUUCUCGUGAAAAGCCUUCAACAUCUAAAGCUGCAUCAGUCUCUGUUGGUACUGCUGGCCCAAUUAGCAAGCCCAAAGAGGAAGAUGAAGAAGAAGAGGAAGAAAACAUGGAUGUGCAGUUAGGAAAACUCUCAUCAAGUAGUGAUCCUGACAAACUGGCAAAGAUGCAGUCCAUCUUAUCCCAAUUUACAGAGGAGCAAAUGAGUAGAUAUGAAUCUUUUCGGAGAUCUGGAUUUCAGAAAUCCAACAUGAAGCGGUUGCUGUCCAGCAUCACAGGAAGUGCAAAGAUAUCUAUUCCUAUGACAAUUGUGGUGUCUGGGAUAUCAAAAAUGUUUGUUGGCGAGCUUAUUGAAACAGCUAAAAUGGUGAUGGCAGAGAGAAAAGAUACAGGACCAAUCAGGCCAUGUCACAUAAGAGAAGCAUAUAGAAGGCUAAAACUUGAAGGCAAGAUUCCGAAAAAAACAGUGCCAAGGCUUUUCCAAUAGCGGACGUGAAAGCAACCUGUAGUUUUAUUUCAGGCAGAGCUUGAUGGUUGUGUCAUGUGUGCAUGUAAGAGAUGAUUGGAGGUCUGGAAGAACCACAUGUCUAUUUAGUCACUGUCUAGUAAAUUAGUUUCUGUAUAAACUACUACUAAUACUUGCAACGUGUGAGACUUGGUAUCAUCCAUGGUUGAGUUUGUUGACCAAUAGUGAAUUUUUCAAUGCACUCUGGACGAAAGAGAAAAUAUGGAGUGACGGACAACAAUACUCCUUCAUCCACCAUGAUGUGUGGAGGCGGCAAAAUGGACCAAAACUUUGUAGAGUAGAAAAGGAAUUCAAAAGACAAUUUAGAGCAGUUUGAUUUGUAGCAGCCAGCCACUUCCUUAGCAGAAAGGCGUACGAUGCACUUGUAAAUCGAUGAAGUUUUUAGGUUUUCUUCAGCCCAAUAUUUACCUUUACAAGGUGAAGUUUUGGCUCUUCUUUGAGAUGCUGGGUUUCGUUCGGAGAAGUUAAAUUUUAGAGCAUUCAGCCGCCAUGAGAAGAGAGUUCUCACCUUGACUUGACGAUUGGCAGGAUGAAGACCCGGAACAAGUGCAACCAACUUAGUUGUAUAGUUUAUAUAUAGUGUUGUAUAUUGAGUAUCAGCUGUUGCUUUCAUUUUUCCCUUUUCUGAAGGGGAGCAUACAUAGCAUACAUGAAAUUAUCAAAAAUAGUAGAAAAUGAUAGAAUGUCAAGAAGAGAUGGUUAAUGGCCAAAUCUUUAACCAAUUGGACAAAUAUAAAGUUCAAUCGGUCUGAUGCAUCAAUUUGGUAGUAUAUAAAUCAGAUUGUUUGAGUAACUGUUUGGUAUUAA